rnacentral:rRNA from 1 species
UGAGUUUGAUCCUGGCUCAGGAUGAACGCUGGCGGCGUGCUUAACACAUGCCAGUCCAACGCUGAAGCUCCCAGCUUGCUGGGGGUGGAUGAGUGGCGAACGGGUGAGUAUCACGUGAGGAACCUGCCCUGAACUGUGGGAUAAGCCUGGGAAACUGGGUCCAAUACUACAUAGGACGCUCCAUCGCAUGGUGGGGUGUGGAAAGCUUUUGCGGUUUGGGAUGGUCUCGCGGCCUAUCAGCUUGUUGGUGGGGUAAUGGCCUACCAAGGCUUUGACGGGUAGCCGGCCUGAGAGGGUGACCGGCCACACUGGGACUGAGACACGGCCCAGACUCCCUACGGGAGGCAGCAGUGGGGGAUAUUGCACAAUGGGGGAAACCCUGAUGCAGCGACGCCGCGUGAGGGAUGACGGCCUUCGGGUUGUAAACCCUCUUUCAGUUGGGAAGAAGCCCCUUUUGGGGUGACGGUACCUUCAGAAGAAGCCCCGGGCUAACUACGUGCCAGCAGCCGCGGUAAUACGUAGGGUGCGAGCGUUAUCCGGAAUUAUUGGGCGUAAAGAGCCUCCUAGGCGGUUUGUCCCGUCUGCUGUGAAACCCCAGGGCUUAACCCUGGGUUUGCAGGGGGUACGGGCAGGCUGGAGUGCAGUAGGGGAGACUGGAAUUCCUGGUGUAGCGGGGAAAUGCGCAGAUAUCAGGAGGAACACCGAGGGCGAAGGCAGGUCUCUGGGCUGUUACUGACGCUGAGGAGCGAAAGCAUGGGGAGCGAACAGGAUUAGAUACCCUGGUAGUCCAUGCCGUAAACGAUGGGCACUAGGUGUGGGGACCAUUUCCACGGUUUCCGCGCCGUAGCUAACGCAUUAAGUGCCCCGCCUGGAGAGUACGGCCGCAAGGCUAAAACUCAAAGGAAUUGACGGGGGCCCGCACAAGCGGCGGAGCAUGCGGAUUAAUUCGAUGCAACGCGAAGAACCUUACCAAGGCUUGACAUGCACUAGACCGCCCUAGAGAUAGGGUUUCCCUUUGGGGCUGGUGUACAGGUGGUGCAGGGUGGUGGUCAGCUCGGGUCGUGAGAUGUUGGGUUAAGUCCCGCAAGGAGCGCAACCCCUAUGCUAUGUGGCCAGCACGUAAUGGUGGGGACUCAUGGGAGACUGCCGGGGUCAACUCGGAGGAAGGUGGGGAGGAGGUCAAAUCAUCAUGCCCCUUAUGUCUGGGGCUUCAGGCAUGAUACAAGGA